rfam:Deltaproteobacteria bacterium RBG_16_47_11 RBG_16_scaffold_14708, whole genome shotgun sequence.
GGGAGGGCGACCGACCGUCUGAAGGAAGCCGGAGAGCAUACGUGCGAGCCGACGGACAGAAACCGCAUACAAGGCUUAGCCCCUGGGCGAGUUGGCACAACACAACAAAGCCCGCAGGUUCAGGGGGCAGGGUAAAUGCGGCGGUUGUGCGCGGAAAGUUCACGUC